rnacentral:rRNA from 1 species
UACGGAGGGUGCAAGCGUUAUUCGGAUUUACUGGGCGUAAAGGGCGCGUAGGCGGCUUGAUAAGUCAGUCGUGAAAGCCCGGGGCUCAACCCCGGAAGUGCGAUUGAAACUAUCAGGCUUGAGUAUGGUAGAGGGAAGUGGAAUUCCAGGUGUAGCGGUGAAAUGCGUAGAUAUCUGGAGGAACACCGGUGGCGAAGGCGACUUCCUGGACCAAUACUGACGCUGAUGCGCGAAGGUGUGGGUAGCAAACAGG